CAUUCGAUACGGGCAAACUAGAGUUUGGUAGGGGAGACUGGAAUUCCUGGUGUAGCGGUGGAAUGCGCAGAUAUCAGGAGGAACACCAAUGGCGAAGGCAGAUCUCUGGGCCGUAACUGACGCUGAGGCACGAAAGCGUGGGGAGCAAACAGGAUUAGAUACCCUGGUAGUCCACGCCCUAAACGAUGAAUGCUAGUCGUCGGGGAGCUCGUCUUCUCGGUGACGCACUUAACAGAUUAAGCAUUCCGCCUGGGGAGUACGGUCGCAAGAUUAAAACUCAAAGGAAUAGACGGGGACCCGCACAAGUGGUGGAGCAUGUGGUUUAAUUCGAAGAUACACGAAGAACCUUACCUGGCCUUGACAUCCCAAGAACUUUCCAGAGAUGGAUUGGUGCUAGCUUGCUAGAACUUGGUGACAGGUGCUGCACGGCUGUCGUCAGCUCGUGUCGUGAGAUGUUGGGUUAAGUCCCGCAACGAGCGCAACCCUCGUCAUUAGUUGCUAACAGUUCGGCUGAGCGCUCUAAUGAGACUGCCUCCGUAAGGAGGAGGAAGGUGAGGACGACGUCAAGUCAUCAUGGCCCUUACGGCCAGGGCUACACACGUGCUACAAUGGGGCGUACAGAGAGCUGCAAUACCGCGAGGUGGAGCCAAUCUCUUAAAGCGUCUCU
rnacentral:rRNA from 1 species